CUGACGUGUGUGGGGGAGACACCUUUUUGCUUAAGUUAGUCAGUCAGUUAUGGAAAUCCCCUGUGCAAAAUAUCUGUGCCAACAUAAAAGUCAUGGAUAAACCAGGCACAAAACACAGGUGGAUUUAAUCAUUCCCUCGCAGCUUUUACAAUCCUCACACUUCAACUAAAUUAAAAAAAAAAAAAAGACCCCCACAUCGUCAUCAGAAGUUUAUUUUACAGAAGUAAAGCGGGUUCCCCUCCCAACAGCGAGCGGCCGAGUCAGGCAGCGGCCGAGUGCGCCCCUCUAACUGACUGACUGACCAACCGCCAACGGCGACCAACCGCCCCCAGCAACCGCCCGCGGCGGUCGGGGCCGCUCCUCCUCCGCGCCUCGCGCCGACCCCAGCCCCAGGUCAGGUCCGGCUGAGGCUCCACGCCCCGCCGGGGCAGCGCCCGCUCACAGGCCUGAGGGCGGGGUGCCACCGAUCUUGCCCAGGAACGACUCGUCUUUUUUCAUCCUGUGGGGCCGCAGCGUCGGCGAGCGGAUGGGAGCAGAGGACAUGGGUUUCGACUUGGGAAAGGGAGUACCGAGGCAGCCGGCCCGAGCCCCGCCGUGCCCUGUGCGGGAGUGUGGAGCGUCCCGCGAAGCCGAACAAAGCUCUGCGAGAGGCGAGGAAGGGGAAAGCUCCCGUCUGGCCGCGGUGGGGAGCAGGGGGCGUGCGAGCCUCGGAGGCGCGGAGGACAGGGGGCGGGGUGGGAGCCGCUGCCGCCGGACACAGCGUUCUUCCACGGCGGCGAAGGCCGCGGGCGGCGGGGGCGGGACGACAUGGCCAUGCGACGCGGGUGGCGCCCGCUCCGGUGGAUUGUACCGGGCACCCGGAGAGCCUCGAGGAUAAAAAAUGAAUAAAUAAAAACAUUUGAGGUUUCAAAUGUUCAAAUUUGAGGAGGAGAGCUGUUCUGAUAGGGGUUAGAAAAGGGGGGGGUGAACGGACUGCAGCUGUAGCUUCCCCUCCCGGUGCAGGGUGUGAGGGGCUC